GGGUGUGAUAUAUUUUGAAAUAACCGAUUCCAGUGGCACCUCAAUCCCAUCCAGGGUAAUUACUUCAUCUUUGUGCUCCUUCAUCCACUCAAAGGUCUUCUUACCUAAAUCCCCUUGAGUCUUGAUCACAGUGAUGAGUGCAUUAAUGGCAGCAACCUUCUUUUUCACAUCUGAACUUUUUUGGGGGUCUUGGUGGGAUGUUUUGUUGAGGACCUUAUUUACUCCCCACAAGAUAACACCCAUAGCUAUAUUUUGCCCAAUAAACAUUGCUACCUUCGGUAGGUAUGUUUUGGUCAGCUCAGCGAGGAUUCUGAAAGACUCUCGAAUUCUGGAGAGCACUUUAACCUUUCUGCGGUUUUCAGCCGAUUCUUCUUUUAGUUCUUGUCUUUCUUCUUCUGUUAAAUCUUCAGUGUCUCUUUCAACACUAUCUAUAGUGUCUUCAGCAUCGUCAAUCAUGUUAUCCAUUUCUCCCAUUUCAGUUUCCAUUGUUUGGAAUGGUAGGACUCUGUUA
ensembl:lncRNA